AAAGAUGCGCUAAUACCGCAUAAUCUCUAAGGAGAAAAGCAGGGGAUCGCAAGACCUUGCGCUUUUGGAGCGGCCGAUGUCUGAUUAGCUAGUUGGUGAGGUAAAGGCUUACCAAGGCUUCGAUCAGUAGCUGGUCUGAGAGGACGACCAGCCACACUGGGACUGAGACACGGCCCAGACUCCUACGGGAGGCAGCAGUGGGGAAUUUUGGACAAUGGGGGCAACCCUGAUCCAGCCAUGCCGCGUGAGUGAAGAAGGCCUUCGGGUUGUAAAGCUCUUUCAGCCGGAACGAAAAGGUUACGGUUAAUACCCGUGACUAAUGACGGUACCGGAAGAAGAAGCACCGGCUAACUACGUGCCAGCAGCCGCGGUAAUACGUAGGAUGCGAGCGUUAAUCGGAAUUACUGGGCGUAAAGCGUGCGCAGGCGGUUUUGUAAGUCAGAUGUGAAAUCCCCGGGCUUAACCUGGGAACUGCGUUUGAAACUACAAGGCUAGAGUGUGGCAGAGGGGGGUGGAAUUCCACGUGUAGCAGUGAAAUGCGUAGAGAUGUGGAGGAACACCGAUGGCGAAGGCAGCCCCCUGGGUUAACACUGACGCUCAGGCACGAAAGCGUGCGGAGCAAACAGGAUUAGAUACCCUGGUAGUCCACGCCCUAAACGAUGUCAACUAGUUGUCGGGUCUUAACGGGCUUGGUAACGCAGCUAACGCGUGAAGUUGACCGCCUGGGGAGUACGGUCGCAAGAUUAAAACUCAAAGGAAUUGACGGGGACCCGCACAAGCGGUGGAUUAUGUGGAUUAAUUCGAUGCAACGCGAAAAACCUUACCUACCCUUGACAUGUACCGAAGCCCGCCGAGAGGCGGGCGUGCC
rnacentral:rRNA from 1 species